rnacentral:rRNA from 1 species
AUUGAACGCUGGCGACAUGCCUUACACAUGCAAGUCGAACGGCAGCACGGGUGCUUGCACCUGGUGGCGAGUGGCGAACGGGUGAGUAAUACAUCGGCACAUGUCCUGUAGUGGGGGAUAGCCCGGCGAAAGCCGGAUUAAUACCGCAUACGCUCUCCGGAUGAAAGCGGGGGCCCUUCGGGCCUCGCGCUAUCGGGUUGGCCGAUGGCUGAUUAGCUAGUUGGUGGGGUAAAGGCCUACCAAGGCGACGAUCAGUAGCUGGUCUGAGAGGACGACCAGCCACACUGGGACUGAGACACGGCCCAGACUCCUACGGGAGGCAGCAGUGGGGAAUUUUGGACAAUGGGCGAAAGCCUGAUCCAGCAAUGCCGCGUGUGUGAAGAAGGCCUUCGGGUUGUAAAGCACUUUUGUCCGGAAAGAAAUCCUUGGCCCUAAUACGGUCGGGGGAUGACGGUACCGGAAGAAUAAGCACCGGCUAACUACGUG